GAUGAACGCUGGCGGCGUGCCUAAUACAUGCAAGUCGAGCGAACAGACGAGGAGCUUGCUCCUCUGACGUUAGCGGCGGACGGGUGAGUAACACGUGGAUAACCUACCUAUAAGACUGGGAUAACUUCGGGAAACCGGAUCUAAUCCCGGAUAAUAUAUUGAACCGCAUGGUUCAAUAGUGAAAUACAGUUUUGCUGUCACUUAUAGAUUGAUCCUCGCCGCAUUAGCUAGUUGGUAAGGUAACGGCUUACCAAGGCAACGAUGCGUAGCCGACCUGAGAGGGUGAUCGGCCACACUGGAACUGAGACACGGUCCAGACUCCUACGGGAGGCAGCAGUAGGGAAUCUUCCGCAAUGGGCGAAAGCCGGACGGAGCAACGCCGCGUGAGUGAUGAAGGUCUUCGGAUCGUAAAACUCGGUUAUUAGGGAAGAACAAAUGUGUAAGUAACUAUGCACGUCUUGACGGUACCUAAUCAGAAAGCCACGGCUAACUACGUG
rnacentral:rRNA from 1 species